rnacentral:lncRNA from 1 species
UGCAGAGCAGUCUGUAGACAGUUGAUUUUGUCGAGGGUUUGCUUUUGGAUUUGCGCCUUUAGUAAUCGUAGGUCUACAGUCUGUUUAUUUUUGUUAUUUUGGGGCUCACAUGUCAUUGUAAAAUAUUUUUGUCUACCCUAGCACUGUGUGCUAUUAUGUAUAUGAAUUUAUUUUGUUAUUACGCUACAGUAUUUGUUUACGUAGAA